UAAGGAAUAUUGCUCAAUGGGAGAAAUCCUGAAGCAGCAACGCCGCGUGGAGGAUGAAGGGUCUAUGACUUGUAAACUCCUGUAAAGAAGGAAAAAAUUCCCAUUUGAUGGGAGAUGAUGGUACUUCUGGAGUAAGCCCCGGCUAACUACGUGCCAGCAGCCGCGGUAAUACGUAGGGGGCAAGCGUUGCCCGGAUUUACUGGGUGUAAAGGGUGCUCAGGCGGAUUUGUAAGUCAGAGGUGAAAUCUUACAGCUUAACUGUGAAACUGCCUUUGAUACUGCAAGCCUAGAGUAUGGAAGAGAGUGAUGGAAUAUCUGGUGUAGCAGUGAAAUGCGUAGAUAUCAGAUAGAACACCAAUGGCGAAGGCAGUCACUUGGUCCAUUACUGACGCUAAAGCACGAAAGCGUGGGUAGCAAACA
rnacentral:rRNA from 1 species